AUUGAACGCUGGCGGCAUGCCUUACACAUGCAAGUCGAACGGUAACGGGCCUUCGGGUGCCGACGAGUGGCGAACGGGUGAGUAAUGUAUCGGAACGUACCUUUCAGUGGGGGAUAACGUAGCGAAAGUUACGCUAAUGCCGCAUAUUCUGUGAGCAGGAAGGCAGGGGAUCGCAAGACCUUGCGCUGAUUGAGCGGCCGAUAUCAGAUUAGCUAGUUGGUGAGGUAAAGGCUCACCAAGGCGACGAUCUGUAGCGGGUCUGAGAGGAUGAUCCGCCACACUGGAACUGAGACACGGUCCAGACUCCUACGGGAGGCAGCAGUGGGGAAUUUUGGACAAUGGGGGCAACCCUGAUCCAGCCAUGCCGCGUGAGUGAAGAAGGCC
rnacentral:rRNA from 1 species